CGGAAGAGCAUUCGAAGCGGGAAGAUUUGGACUUAGUCUUCUUCAUUUCAUCAUCCUGAUGGUGUAUGUUCAGCCCGCUCUCUCUAUCGGGAGUAGUCAAUGUUUUUCGACGUUGUUGUUAUUGUUUUACGUCCUCGCACAGCGUGGAUUUCGAGUCAGCCUGUAACGCUGAUUGGUCGGAAUCGGUACUUUGUAAAUACCUGUCGAUUAGUGCCGAGCGUGUGGAUACAGUACAUACCAGAUCUAUUGCUGCACCGUAAAUACCGAGUUUACCUGGCCGGCAAGGGUACAGACAAACAAGGAUUCGCACAACCGUCCGGACAUACGGCUCACAUAUGUGAUAUUGUGAUUCUUUCCCAGGUGCUGUUUUUUUAAAAACAAUGUGAUGAUAUACUGUCCUGCCUAGUACGAUGUAGCUCUUAGACGCCAUAAGCCUUAUUUGACAAUGUACACUCGAGAUAAUGCCAUUUCCCUGGAAAAUGGAAAAUUGCAUUCACAUAACAUAACUUUGUGCGAAAGAAUGAAGUUCAUUGCUGUGUACUGGGGAAGUUUAAAAGGAUAAUUGUUGUUCGCUAUGCUGACAGUUUUAUCUUAAUUAAACAAUGGAAACGGUGAAGUUGAUUGCUGCCGAGCUCUGAGUGUCCCCAUGGCUGCCGCCAUCAACAGUGACACCCCAAACGGAAAAUUGUAAUACAAUUCGCUGACAAUUCCAAUGGCGGUUGCGAAACAGGAAGUUCAACCCCGAAUCCUCGCUCGACAUGACUGACACGAAUGGGGUGCCUACAUCAGGCGCCGAGGAUCUCGACCGGCAACAAGAGGUGAUGAAAUCAAAAUUUCUACAUCUAUUGAUUAUUAUCGACUAAUUUAUUAUUUCCGCCUCAAUUUGUGCACCUUGUUAACAUACAUCCAUCACGCAACCACGCCGAAAAUAAAGUAACGGGGAUGAACGUAACGUGAGUGUGAGGCUCCAGGACGUGUGCCAGGGUGGGUAUGGUCAACCGACGUCGGCGCCCGGGUCGUGGUGGCGCUUACAUAAAUCACUGACGACGACAUGAGUUCACUAUGCCGCCCGAUAUUGACAUUGAAAAAGCCCCCUCGCUCGCAAGGACCCACUUGGCGAUACCAGGGAAUAUUAUGAUGGCUGGCACUGUUAUUCCAUUCCCACGAAUUUAUUAUGAAAUUAUGGGCUAAGCUUGCGGCGAACUUGCCAUGAAAAGACAGGAAAUGGAAACUACGGAGAAAGUAACUAAUUAAAUACAACAAAACAAAAAAAGAUUGAAAUAAUACGAAAAUGAAACAAUGUCGUCGUGGACUGAGGGGUCGCAAGCCCCUUCAACCAAUGCUACAAUAUUGUGUAAACUCGAAGUAUAAAAAUUAAGAAAAAAUAUCUGAAGCUCUUUAAGGAUUUCUCCCUCCGAAACGAACGAACCCGUCGGGAAUCCUUUGUCAAACAUCUUCAUUCCUGCUGUAUUCCUUCC